UGCCCUAGUAACGGCGAGUGAAGCGGCAAGAGCUCAAAUUUGAAAGCUGGCUCCUUCGGGGUCCGCAUUGUAAUUUGCAGAGGAUGCUUCGGAAUCGGCCCCCAUCUAAGUGCCCUGGAACGGGCCGUCAUAGAGGGUGAGAAUCCCGUCUGGGAUGGGGUGUCCGUGCCCGUGUGAAGCUCCUUCGACGAGUCGAGUUGUUUGGGAAUGCAGCUCUAUUGGGUGGUAAAUUUCAUCUAAAGCUAAAUAUUGGCCGGAGACCGAUAGCGCACAAGUAGAGUGAUCGAAAGAUGAAAAGCACUUUGAAAAGAGAGUUAAAAAGCACGUGAAAUUGUUGAAAGGGAAGCGCUUGCGACCAGACUCGCCCGCGGGGUUCAGCCGGCAUUCGUGCCGGUGUACUUCCCCGCGGGCGGGCCAGCGUCGGUUUGGGCGGCCGGUCAAAGGCCCCUGGAAUGUAACGCCUCUCGGGGCGUCUUAUAGCCAGGGGUGCCAUGCGGCCUGCCCGGACCGAGGAACGCGCUUCGGCUCGGACGCUGGCAUAAUGGUCGUAAGCGAC
rnacentral:rRNA from 1 species